rnacentral:rRNA from 1 species
GGAAUAUUGCACAAUGGGCGAAAGCCUGACGCAGCGACACCGUGUGUAGGAUGAAAAUCUUCGGAUUGUAAACUACUGUCAGUUGAAGAAGAAGGUAUUAGAGUUAAGAGCUCGAGUAUUGACGGUAUUCAACAAGGAAGUCUCGGCUAACUCCGUGCCAGCAGCCGCGGUAAGACGGAGGAGGCAAGCAUUGUCCGGAAUUAUUGGGCGUAAAGAACACGUAGGCGGUUUAUCAAGUCAUAUGUGAAAACCUUAGGCUUAACUUAAGGAUUGCAAAUGAUACUGGUAAGCUAGAGUACAGUAGAGGAAAGUGGAAUUCCUGGUGUAGCGGUGAAAUGCGCAGAUAUCAGGAAGAACACCAGUGGCGAAAGCGGCUUUCUGGACUGUUACUGACGCUGAGGCGUGAAAGCUAGGGGAGCGAACAG